AAAUUUUGGUUGUUCCUGACUUUUGUUCUUCCGCCGACUGCUACUCUGAGUGCUCUCCCAAAUCUCUCUCCUCACUUUUCAGAUGAAAGUCACGAAAUUCUUCCAGAAAUUUGUCCAGGUUAUGAUGGCUCCGAUUAGGAAGUAUCCUUCUGGGGUUAAAAAAAGAAAAGAGAAGCAAAAGAGAGAGGCAUUGGUUAAGCUUCAAGCCGGAUCCCUUCGUGUUGACGGAUGUACUUGAACUUUUGCUCUUUGUGGUUAGAGGACCUAUUUUGUACCAGAUUGCUACAGCUAUAUCUGCCACUGCAACCUGGGAAUUUACACAUAUCAAGUAUCGGUUGGGGCUCGAAGGGUGUUGUUUGGUUGUUUAACAUUGCUACUUAUAUGCUGCCCAUUAUGCACUGAGUAGACAUGCUUCAGCAACUGAACAGAAAAGGGAGGUAGAGAUUACAAGCAUGCUGAUAUCAUUGUAGGAAAAAUUUAGAAAGUAAAGUUCUGGAUAUUACAAAAUCUGGAUUUACAACAGCAUGGUUGCCCGCAUGAACUCAUUCCUCUGCCUCAGAAGGUUGGUGCAUGAAAUUCAUUGUUGGGGAGCUAUUGCAGCCUGGGGGAUAUCUCAAAUUGAUUGAGUUGGGUCUUGAAGAUUGUGCAAAUGAGUAGAUUGAUGCCCAGAA